rnacentral:tRNA from 1 species
GCAUUGGUGUUUCAGUGGUAGAAUCUUUGUCUCCCACGCAAGAGACCUAGGUUCGAUUCCCGACCAAAGUA